rnacentral:rRNA from 1 species
CCUACGGGAGGCAGCAGUGAGGAAUUUUGCACAAUGGGGGAAACCCUGAUGCAGCGACGCCGCGUGAGUGACGAAGGCCUUCGGGUCGUAAAGUUCUGUCAGUAGGGAAGAAAUGUGCUAUGGCUAAUAUCCAUGGUACUUGACGGUACCUAGCAAAGAAGCCCCGGCU